UGGGGGUUCGUCUAACGGUAGGACAACUGACUCUGGAUCAGUAUGUAGGGGUUCGAAUCCUCUACCCCCAGCUA
rnacentral:tRNA from 2 species